GUUCAACGGCCGCGGUAUCCUAACCGUGCGAAGGUAGCGUAAUCACUUGUUCUUUAAAUGAGGACUAGUAUGAAUGGCAUCACGAGGGUUAUACUGUCUCCUCUUUUUAAUCAGUAAAACUAUUCUCCCCGUGAAGAAACGGGGAUAUUAUUAUAAGACGAGAAGACCCUAUGGAGCUUUAAAUUUUAUUUCAUUUGCUCUUUUUAUAGCCCGCCCCGACUUCUUAUUCUUAGCUGAGCAUAUUGAUAAUAAAUUUUAGGUUGGGGUGACCGCGGAGCAUAAAUAAACCUCCACGUAGAACAGGCCUAAACCUUGAAUAAUAGAGCCACAACUCUAGAUACUAAUACAUUAACAUCCAUUGACCCAAUAUUUUUGAUCAACGAACCAAGUUACCCUAGGGAUAACAGCGCAAUCUACUUUGAGAGCCCCUAUCGACAAGUAGGUUUACGACCUCGAUGUUGGAUCAGGGUAUCCCAGUGGUGCAGCCGCUACUAAAGGUUCGUUUGUUCAACGAUUUAAACCC
rnacentral:rRNA from 1 species